AUUGAACGCUGGCGGCAUGCCUUACACAUGCAAGUCGAACGGCAGCACGGGAGCAAUCCUGGUGGCGAGUGGCGAACGGGUGAGUAAUACAUCGGAACGUGCCCAAUAGUGGGGGAUAGCCCGGCGAAAGCCGGAUUAAUACCGCAUACGACCUACGGGUGAAAGCGGGGGAGUCGCAAGACCUCGCGCUACUGGAGCGGCCGAUGUCGGAUUAGCUAGUUGGUGGGGUAAAGGCCUACCAAGGCUACGAUCCGUAGCUGGUCUGAGAGGACGACCAGCCACACUGGGACUGAGACACGGCCCAGACUCCUACGGGAGGCAGCAGUGGGGAAUUUUGGACAAUGGGCGCAAGCCUGAUCCAGCCAUGCCGCGUGCGGGAAGAAGGCCUCGGUGUAACG
rnacentral:rRNA from 1 species